AGUGCGCUCGAGGGUGGUCUCAAGCCCUAGACAGCCGGGAGGUGAGCUUAGAAGCAGCUACCCUCUAAGAAAAGCGUAACAGCUUACCGGCCGAGGUUUGAGGCGCCCAAAAUGAUCGGGGCUCAAGUCUACCACCGAGACCUAGCAGCACCACUCAGACUGGUGAUCUCGUAGGUUGGCGUUCUGUUCGGGUGGAAGCACGGCUGAGAAGUCGUGUGGACCGUUCAGUAACGAAAAUCCUGGUCAUAGUAGCAGCGUUAGUCGGGUUAGAACCCCGACGGCCGAACGAGUAAGGGUUCCUCAGCAAUGCUGAUCAGCUGAGGGUUAGCCGGUCCUAAGUCAGCCCGUAAGUCGAAGCUGACAACAGGGAAAUAGGUUAAUAUUCCUAUGCCAGUGUGUACUCAAAGCCAACGCUUUGGGGCCGCCUCUGCCGGGCUUUCGCCCGGUCGAACAGUCGAAGUUCGUGGAAGCCGUAAUGGCACGAAGCGACCGAAUGGCUGGAUAGCGUAAGAGAGGUCAACCUAGAGCCCGUGAAAAGGCAAACACACUGUCCGUACCGAGAUCCGACACAGGUACUCGUGGCGGCGAAAGCCAAGGUCUGUCGGGAGCAACCGACGUUAGGGAAUUCGGCAAGUUAGUCCCGUACGUUCGCAAUAAGGGAUGCCUGCCCUGCAAUGGGGCAGGUCGCAGUGACUCGGGCGCUCCGACUGUCUAGUAACAACAUAGGUGACCGCAAAUCCGCAAGGACUCGUACGGUCACUGAAUCCUGCCCAGUGCAGGUAUCUGAACACCCCGUACAAGGGGACGAAGGACCUGUUAACGGCGGGGGUAACUAUGACCCUCUUAAGGUAGCGUAGUACCUUGCCGCUUCAGUAGCGGCUUGCAUGAAUGGAUCAACGAGAGCGCCACUGUCCCAACGUUGGGCCCGGUGAACUGUACGUUCCAGUGCGGAGUCUGGAGACCCCCAAGGGGAAGCGAAGACCCUAUAGAGCUUUACUGCAGGCUGUCACUGAGACGUGGUCGCCAUUGUGCAGCAUAGGUAGGAGCCGGUACACAGGUACCCGCGCUAGCGGGCCACCGAGGCAGCAUUGAAAUACUACCCGAUGGUGACUGCGACUCUCACUCCUGGCGGAGGACACUGGUAGCCGGGCAGUUUGACUGGGGCGGUACGCGCCUGAAAAGAUAUCGGGCGCGCCCCAAGAUUUCCUCAUCCGCGUCGGAGACGCGGAAAAGAGCGCAAGAGCAAACGGAAGUCUGACAGUGUCCGGCACAACGACGGACGCUGACGCGAAAGCGUGGUCUAGCGAACCAAUUAGGCUGCUUGAUGCGGCCAAUUGCUGACAGAAAAGCUACCUUAGGGAUAACAGAGUCGUCACCCGCAAGAGCACAUAUCGACCGGGUGGCUUGCUACCUCGAUGUCGGUUCCCUCCAUCCUGCCCGUGCAGAAGCGGGCAAGGGUGAGGUUGUUCGCCUAUUAAAGGAGGUCGUGAGCUGGGUUUAGACCGUCGUGAGACAGGUCGGCUGCUAUCUAUUGGGGGUGUUACGGUAUCUGACGGGAACGUUCGUAUAGUACGAGAGGAACUACGAAUGGGUGCCACUCGUGUACCAGCUGUCCGAAAGGGCACGUGCUGGGCAGCGACGCACCACGGGGUAAGAGCUGAACGCAUCUAAGCUCGAAACCCACCUGAAAAAGAGAUACCACCGAGGCCACUCGU
rnacentral:rRNA from 1 species